rnacentral:tRNA from 1 species
GCCGUGGUGGCUCAGUGGUUAAGCACUCAGCUGCUAACUGAGAGAUUGGACGUUAGAACCCACUCAGUGGCU